UAAUAUUUGAAGGUAAUAGUUGAAGACUUGAAGAUACCUCUUUUUGACUAACGCAUCAAGUUGCAUUCAUAAUUUGAAGUAAUCGUACAACUCCAACUCACUUUAAAUCACGCUUUCAUAAACAGAAAAAGAAAAAAGAAUGGAGUAAGUAUGAUGUUGAGACUUAUGUAGUAAAGUGAUGUGAUGGAUUUAAUUUCAGCAUUCUCCAUUUCAUAAACAUACAUUCCGGCAAAUCACACCUUUACCUUUCUUUCCUAACAGAAUGAGUCCCUCCUACUCCCUUUCUUUACCUUUCUUUCAUAAUCGACAGAGAUCGUACCUCAUUCUCAGCGCCCCUUACCGUCUCGGGCUAUUUCGCCCUUAGCUGUUGCUGAAGGGCCUGCCUUCGAGCAGCAAGCCGGGCCUCUGUCGGGCCCGCUCUUGGUCACGAGCCGAAUCCAUUGAGCGGAUUGGUGUGGAUCUGCCUUCGACAUCAGAAGCAAAGCAAGGAUCCUUCAAAAC